GCCCGCCUAGCUCAAUCGGAUAGAGCGUCAGACUCUUAGGAGCGGGCAUCUGAAGGCUGCGAGUUCGACCCUCGCGGUGGGCU
rnacentral:tRNA from 1 species